CGAGUUUUGCGUCUUUCCGUGGCUUGUGGGCCCUGUGCUUUUUCACACCUUGAUUCUCUUAAGGAAUAAAGACUUUAUUUUUUUUGCAAGGAGGGAAAGUCCGCUGAUUUCAGGAUCAGCGGGAACCCCAGCCCGUCCUCUGUAACAGACGGCGUGGCGCAUCGGCUGGAACGACCCUGCGACGGGAGCGCUCCACUGAGAGCGUCCACUCGGAUGUGGCGGGAUGCAGGCGACCUGGGGGUUACAGAAGUGAAUCAAGAGCUGGACUUCCCUGGUGGCGCAGUGGUUAAGAAUCCGCCUGCCAAUGCAGGGGACACAGGUUCGAGCCCUGGUCCGGGAAGAUCCCACAUGCCACAGAGCAACUAAGCCCGUGCGCCACAACUACUGAGCCUGCGCUCUAGAGCCCGUGAGCCACAACUACCGAGCCCAUGUGCCGCAACUACUGAAGCCUGUGCGCCUAGAGCCCGUGCUCUGCAACGAGAAGCCCCCGCAACGAGAAGCAUGCACACCGCAACGAAGAGUAGCCCCCGCUCACCGCAACUGGAGAAAGCCUGCGCGCAGCAAAGAAGACCCAACAGCCAAAAAAUAAAUAAAUAAAUUUAUUUUUUAAAAAAA